UCGGGUUGUAAAGCACUUUUGUCCGGAAAGAAAUCGCGCCUGCUAAUACCGGGUGUGGAUGACGGUACCGGAAGAAUAAGCACCGGCUAACUACGUGCCAGCAGCGCGGUAAUCGUAGGGUGCGAGCGUUAAUCGGAAUUACUGGGCGUAAAGCGUGCGCAGGCGGUUCGCUAAGACCGAUGUGAAAUCCCCGGGCUUAACCUGGGAACUGCAUUGGUGACUGGCGGGCUAGAGUAUGGCAGAGGGGGGUAGAAUUCCACGUGUAGCAGUGAAAUGCGUAGAGAUGUGGAGGAAUACCGAUGGCGAAGGCAGCCCCCUGGGCCAAUACUGACGCUCAUGCACGAAAGCGUGGGGAGCAAACAGGAUUAGAUACCCUGGUAGUCCACGCCCUAAACGAUGUCAACUAGUUGUUGGGGAUUCAUUUCCUUAGUAACGUAGCUAACGCGUGAAGUUGACCGCCUGGGGAGUACGGUCGCAAGAUUAAAACUCAAAGGAAUUGACGGGGACCCGCACAAGCGGUGGAUGAUGGUGGAUUAAUUCGAUGCAACGCGAAAAACCUUACCUACCCUUGACAUGGUCGGAACCCUGCUG
rnacentral:rRNA from 1 species